GAAAAAUGUUGAAGGAGAGCCACAUUUUGUCAUUUAAGGGUUUCUUGAUCAUGGAACUCUUUUUAGUGGUGGCCACUAGUAUCAGUUCAAGGUUCAGGGGGACCAGAACUGCAGGGUCUCCGUCGGUUCCAAUUCUGGUUUUGAUCAAAUCUAACGGCUAAAUUCUUUUAAAAAUUUUUCAAAUAUUUUUUUAGAAGAAAAAAAAAUCUGGUUUUGGCCUAGAGUCGAACCUGACUACCAGGACCAGUUCUGCUCAGUCUGGUAUCAGUUCCAGGUUGGACCAGCCCGGUUCCGAACCAGAUCGUGCACGGGCCUAGCUCUCUUCUUGUUUUCUCUUUUCGUUUUUCAUUUUUUUUAUUUGCUUUUAAGAAUAUAUCACUGUAAAAGGUACCAUUGUUAGAUGCAAUUGAGUUAUUAUCACUUUAAUCAUAAAUGUCUCUGGUGCAAGUCUGUUCUUUUGUGGGGCUGGGUUACCAUCAGGGUUUUUGACCUUUUGAAGUUUGAACGACUUGAAUAUGAUAUUUUUCAUAAAGUACAGGCGUGCCAUAUAGUUUGGUUACUUUAUUUAUAUUAUUUCUCUACUUGGAAAAAGUAAUACUUCAGCAAAGAUGCCUGAUUUGCUUUUGCA
rnacentral:misc_RNA from 1 species